GACGAACGCUGGCGGCGUGCCUAAUACAUGCAAGUAGAACGCUGAAGAGAGGAGCUUGCUCUUCUUGGAUGAGUUGCGAACGGGUGAGUAACGCGUAGGUAACCUGCCUUGUAGCGGGGGAUAACUAUUGGAAACGAUAGCUAAUACCGCAUAACAAUGGAUGACACAUGUCAUUUAUUUGAAAGGGGCAAUUGCUCCACUACAAGAUGGACCUGCGUUGUAUUAGCUAGUAGGUGAGGUAACGGCUCACCUAGGCGACGAUACAUAGCCGACCUGAGAGGGUGAUCGGCCACACUGGGACUGAGACACGGCCCAGACUCCUACGGGAGGCAGCAGUAGGGAAUCUUCGGCAAGGGGGGCAACCCUGACCGAGCAACGCCGCGUGAGUGAAGAAGGUUUUCGGAUCGUAAAGCUCUGUUGUAAGUCAAGAACGAGUGUGAGAGUGGAAAGUUCACACUGUGACGGUAGCUUACCAGAAAGGGACGGCUAACUACGUG
rnacentral:rRNA from 1 species